rnacentral:misc_RNA from 1 species
CCGAGUUCAUGCCCUUACGGGUAGACCUCCCACCCUAUGUUAUAUUACCUUUGUUGCUUUGGCGGGCCGCCCGGCUUCGGCCAGGCUACCGGCUCCAGCUGGUAAGCGCUCGCCAGAGGACCCCAAACUCUGAAUGUUAGUGUCGUCUGAGUACUAUAUAAUAGUUA